GACGAACGCUGGCGGCGUGCUUAACACAUGCAAGUCGUACGGUAAGGCCCUUUCGGGGGUACACGAGUGGCGGACGGGUGAGUAACACGUGAGUAACCUGCCCACAACUUUGGGAUAACGCUAGGAAACUGGUGCUAAUACUGGAUAUGUGCUCCUGCUGCAUGGUGGGGGUUGGAAAGCUCCGGCGGUUGGGGAUGGACUCGCGGCCUAUCAGCUUGUUGGUGGGGUAGUGGCCUACCAAGGCGGCGACGGGUAGCCGGCCUGAGAGGGUGACCGGCCACAUUGGGACUGAGAUACGGCCCAGACUCCUACGGGAGGCAGCAGUGGGGAAUAUUGCACAAUGGGCGCAAGCCUGAUGCAGCAACGCCGCGUGCGGGAUGACGGCCUUCGGGUUGUAAACCGCUUUCAGCAGGGACGAAGCUUUUUGUGACGGUACCGGCAGAAGAAGCACCGGCGAACUACGU
rnacentral:rRNA from 1 species